rnacentral:piRNA from 1 species
UGAUUAUAGAAAGACCCACGUGGUUGUCUG